rnacentral:rRNA from 1 species
CCCUUAGAUGUUCUGGGCCGCACGCGCGCUACACUGACGAUGGCAACGAGUUUUUCCUUCGCCGAAAGGUGUGGGUAAUCUUUUGAAACAUCGUCGUGCUGGGGAUAGAUCAUUGCAAUUUUUGAUCUUGAACGAGGAAUUCCUAGUAAGCGCGAGUCAUCAGCUCGCGUUGAUUACGUCCCUGCCCUUUGUACACACCGCCCGUCGCUACUACCGAUUGAAUGGUUUAGUGAGGACUCCUGAUUGGCGCCGCCGCCCCGGCAACGGAGCAGCGGACUGCCGCAAAGUUGUUCAAACUUGAUCAUUUAGAGGAAGUAAAAGUCGUAACA